UUGUAACAAUAAAGUUCCUGGUCUGC
rnacentral:piRNA from 1 species